rfam:Myotis lucifugus cont2.34985, whole genome shotgun sequence.
GGUGGUUCUCAGGUGACACACCCUGGAAUAGGGCUCCCUCCUCUCUGGUUCCAGCACAUCGCCUGAGAACUGCA